GUCUUCAUCUGUCACCCAGACUGGAGUGCAGUGGCGCAAUCUUGCCUCACUACAACCUCUGCCUCCUGGGUUCAAGCGAUUUUCAUGCCUCAGCCUCCCAAGAUGCUAGGAUUACAAGUGUGUGCCACCACGCCCUGCUCCUCUGAGAAAUAAAUGAGUAAAAUGCACCCCCUGUGAGUGAGAUGAUGCAUCUGACUUGCAGGAAUAAACCAAGUGACAUCUGGAGAUCACUCAUGGAAGCUGGCCUGGAACAGGGUUGUGAUUUAGCGAGGGAAAGCCCAGUAACCUGUGGUGUUUCCUGUCUGGAAGAAGACAAUAAGACUGAGCCAGGAGUGUGAAGAACAGUGUGGCCUCUGAACCACCUGUCCCAGAGUUGGAAUGGUCACUCACUAAAAUGCAGGUCCUGGGCCCUGCUCCAUCUCUCCCAAGUCAGAACCACUGGCUGAGGGGCUGGGAAUCUGCACUUGACCAGCCCUCUCAGAUAAGUCAUCUGAACACGCAAGCUUGAUGGGCCUUGGCCCUCAGUGCAGGUGUGGGCGGUGCACGCCACCAGGACAAGGACACUGGGUCAGGGUAACCAGGUACUCUUUACAUGUUGAGGAUCACAUAUGGUUUUG
rnacentral:lncRNA from 1 species